GUGCUUGCUUCCUCAGCACAUAUACUAAAAUUGGAACGACACAGAGAUUAGCAUAGCCCCUGUGCAAGGAUGACACACAAAUACAUGAAAUGUUCCAUAUUUCU
ensembl:snRNA U6 U6 spliceosomal RNA